rnacentral:rRNA from 1 species
UACAGAGGGUGCGAGCGUUGUCCGGAAUCACUGGGCGUAAAGGGCGCGUAGGUGGCCCGACAAGUCAGUGGUGAAAGCUCGACGCUCAACGUCGAGUCGGCCACUGAUACUGUUGGGCUGGAGCACUGUAGAGGCAGAUGGAAUUCCGGGUGUAGCGGUGGAAUGCGUAGAGAUCCGGAAGAACACCAACGGCGAAAGCACUCUGCUGGGCCGACACUGACACUGAGAGACGAAAGCUAGGGGAGCAAAUGGG